rnacentral:misc_RNA from 1 species
AAAAAAACAAUAAAUCUUGUAUAGCCACUUACACAAAUGCUACAACUAUACACAACUUUAAUACCCAAAAUUGAAAAUUGGGGCAACAUUACCAAAAUUACAGGCCAAUAAGGCAACACAGCUGAAAUAAUCAGCAUAUCCAAAAGUUAUGUUAUUUUUCCACAAGAGAUGCUAUUAUGAUCUGACAUCCUUCAGCACUCCGCCUUUCUCAAGUUCAUCGACAAGGUCUUUCAAUGCUGGAACCUUACCGGCAAGAGUCCUGUAGAGUCUGGAAUACCGAGCUCUGGUUCCGUCUGCUGUCUUUGCAAUAGCAAGAAGGCUUAACGACUGCGGGAGCUGUGUGAAUAACUGUUUCAUCUCAUCCAAGCUCAAAUUUUCAAGAACAGGUGGUCUGGGAACAACUCGGACAAUCUCACCCCCUUUAGGUUCUUCAACUUGUGCAUCUGCUUUAACGACCAGUUCAGAGUUUGAGUUAGCUCCACAUUUGACGAUAAAUGGGCUUGUUGAACCUGUGUUGAACUGAAGAACAUUCCACUGUGUCACGUCAGUUUCUCCCCCUAAUCCCACAUUUGCAGGACGCCGAGAAGCAUGUAUAUUUUCAUGAAGCCGGUCAUCCUCUUCAGUAAUUAACUCAACAGCAUGACGUGCUUCAUCAAUGUGCCUCUGAGCACACGGAUGAUCAAUGUCAAGCAAGGAAGGCAUUCGUUCUGCUAGUUCAUCUAGAGAAGCUAGCAAAGCUUUCUUCCUACUCUUACUGAGGGUGUUCACAGAUGAUUGCCUCAGUACGUCCUUGACUAGUUUCAAAAUGCCAUCGAGGGAAACCAAGGAUGCAAGUCGAGCAUCUUCAGCUGCAGUAGAAGGAUUUCGAACUGGUGAACUCCCAUCUUCUAAUGUCAACAUUGUCAUAUCACUUCUUAUUUGUUGCAAAAUCUUUCUUCUUUUGGCAUCAACAGAUUCUAAAGCUGAACGCAACUUUGCCACAUGGAUAGAGUCUUCUGCCACUUCAGUUGACAGUGUAUCUGCAAUGUCCUUCAAGUGCUGGAGUUGGGAAUUGUAAACUCUCUUUGCAUAUUCAGAUAAGAGCUGACCGAGUGCAUCAGUGCUAGGGGGCAUUGCAGCACCUAGUCCAGCCAUCCAGCCAUCCAUUAUUGCAGUAGACAGAAGCUCAAGCUGACCUGUUGCUCCACCAACUGUGUCAUCAGUGACAGACAGAAAGUCGAAGUUCUCUGCAAGCCAAUUCCUGAUUUGACGUUGAAGCUCGCCAGCCGGAGUAUGUACAAAAAGAGCAGCAAGACCUCUGUUUCCAACCGCAAAACUUUUAGCUUCCUCAGUUAUCUCCCUAAGUUUUCCACCAGUUACUUGUUGCCUCUGUAUGUCCUGAUCAAUACCACGGAUCUUCAGAACGACAGAUGAUAAUUUGGAUUUCUUUUCUGGCUUUAAAUUUACUUUGAACCCUUGAAUAUGUUCAUCAACCAGUGCAUUCCUACUUGAAUCGUAGUGCAUAGGCGAUCUUCCAGGGCUACUACCACGGCUAGAGCUUCUGCUCUGGCCACUAUAACUAGCUUUCUCCAGGAAGCGCUCAACAGGAGAAACCUUUAUAGAUUGCAACUCGGGCGACCUAGCAAGCAAGGAUCUUAUGUACAAAAUCCUAACACGGGAAACAAGCAUGGUAUCCAUCACUCUCUUUGGCUCCAUUUUACGAAUGAAAGCAAAGACGGCAUCUCGAAUUUCAGCAAGUAUUUCAUGCUCCCUAGAAGCACCUGCUUUGAUGACUGCUGCUAAAACCAGCAUCAAGAGCUUGUUUGCUCCAUCAGAGAUUGCAGCAAGGCUAUCAUACUGAUCAGGAUCAAAUUCAUUCAGUGCGGAAGUAAG